GGUGAAGAAAAGCAGAGUACAGAAAACCGUCUUUUUGAAAGAGCUUUCCAUCACUCAGGCAACAGGUCACUCAGUGAAGAAGCUGUGCCAGGAGACGGGGAAUAUCUUCCAAAUCCUCAAGCAAACUGUGCUGAAAACAAACUGCUGAAACAAAUACAAGCAUAUGACUUUAAAAUGAUGCCUCUGGAAAUAAGGGACAUACAGCAGCUGCCAGAUGUUCAUGAUCCCACCUCCCCUACUUAACAAAGGCGCCGAUAUUUCACCAGAAAUAAAAUUUUAUUAGUAACAUGUCAAA